AACGGUCUAUACCUGCGGUACCUGCGGAGGGAUCAUUACCGAGUUUACAAAACUCCCAAACCCUUUGUGAACCUUACCUAUCGUUGCUUCGGCGGGACCGCCCCGGCGCCCUCGCGGCCCGGAACCAGGCGCCCGCCGGAGGCCCCAAACCCUCAUGUCUUUAGUGGUUUCCUCCUCUGAGUGACAUAAACAAAUAAAGUAAAAACUUUCAACAACGGAUCUCUAGAUCGGAAGAGCACA
rnacentral:misc_RNA from 1 species